rnacentral:lncRNA from 1 species
ACCAAACCAAUUGAAUCUUGAUCUCCUCUAGUCCACCACUUGAAGAGGAUGUUUCUCAGAUCACUCACAGCCACACGAAGUCAUCUUGCCUCUACAAAAAAAUCCACACGAAGACUGGCGCAGAUCAGAAGCUUGGAGGUGCUAACUUGCAAGCAAUUUUGACGGCUGAUAUUUUCUUUUUUCUUCAAGCAUCUUGGACACUCUAAAGGAUAAAGAGAUCUAG